rnacentral:lncRNA from 1 species
CCUGGCCCCGCGGCGCACCGAGGUUUCCGGCGAGCGCGGUGGCGGGUGUGGAGACUCCCUCCUCCUCGCGGCCCCGGUCUGCCGUCUCCGCGGCUCCAGGUGGGCCUCGCCGCGACCCCCGAGCUGCGCCCGCGCUCUGCGCUGCCCGGCCGCGGCCUCCGGGAGGGCCGAGCCUCCGCGCGCCUCCCCAUUCCCUGCCGCAGGGACGGCGGCGGGCACCCCUCCUGGCCCGCCCGUUCCGCGCCUGGCCUCCCCGGCGCCGGCUGGGGCGCGCAGGGCCCCGGAUCACGCGGGCCGCCGGCAGCGCCCAGUCGGCCGUGUUUCCCAGGCCCUCCCGGGUGCGCCCGGGUCCCCGGGUGGCCGCGCCCAGGCGGUCCCGGGAGAGCCUGGCCGGGGUCGCCAACAGGGCGCAGUGUCUGCGCGGCGCCAGGGCGCUGGCUGCCGGGCCCGCCAGACUGGGGAGGGGGCUGGUGUGGUGGCAGACAGCUGGGGGACCCCGUCCCGGCUGCCAAGCCCUUUCUGAGCCCUGCUCAUACCCACCGCGGGACUUGGCGACACAGGUGGGGACCCGGCAAUUAGGAGUCCUUGCAUCUCAGUUGCAUCUGGCUCAGAGCUCUGUCACAGAGAGCUGCGUGUGUCGCCACUGUGGCUCCGUCCCCCCCAGGUUUCAUCUCUCGUCAUUUGUUAGAUUUUGCCGUUUUCCCUCUCUGCUUCUAGGCCUGUGGAAGUCCCAUCAAGGGACCGGGAGGUGGAGGAGGCCAGCCCUGCUGGCUGGAGAUAGGCAGCACAGCUCCCAGCGCUGCCCACUGCUGGACCCCCUGGACCAUCGUCGCUCCCCUGCCAGGCACAUGCAAGAGGACAGACCCCAGAAAGACUCUGCUUUCACACACCCGCAGCCGCCAUCCAGUUUAAGCCAGGGGUAGGUUUAGCAUCUGCCUCUUUACAUUUUCCCUAAAAUUUAGAUGCCCAAGUGUUACUUUUCUCCUGGGAUGGGUUCACUUAGGGCCAGAGCUCCCUCAGGACAAUGGACUUACAUAACCACAGUUUGGGCCUGGGUCAAGACAUUGAAUGACUUUGUUACCCCAAGGGCCAGCCAAAGGGUAGGAUAGCCUGUCCACACACCUCCAGGCCACUGGCAGCUCUGCAGAGAGCAGGACAAGUUUGCCCUGCUGAGGGAUGUCCUCUCUUGGCCUGUACCAUCCAUGGCUGUGCAAAGAGGGCAGUCACCUUCCUGCUCAACAGCCCACUUUGACGACCAGGUCACUGUAUUGAGGGCUGGGCCUUGAGUUUGCUUUGAGACCUGUGGCUUUUAGGGACGAAAAGAGAGACUGUCCCAAGCUGGGCUUCCUGGCUAAGCCUCGUGAAUUAUUUUCUCUCAUUAUAUUUCCUUUCAAUCAGGUCAUCUCCCAAACAUCAAAGUCUACGUUAGCAUGCUCUUGAGGUGAUGUUUUUUGUUGUUGUUGUUGUUUGUUUGUUUGUUUUUUUCCAACAGGGUUU